rnacentral:rRNA from 1 species
CGCCUACGGGACGCAGCAGUGGGGAAUAUUGGGCAAUGGGCGCAAGCCUGACCCAGCAACGCCGCGUGAAGGAAGAAGGCUUUCGGGUUGUAAACUUCUUUUAUGAGGGACGAAAGAAAUGACGGUACCUCAUGAAUAAGCCACGGCUAACUACGUGCCAGCAGCCGCGGUAAUACGUAGGGAGCAAGCGUUAUCCGGAUUUACUGGGUGUAAAGGGCGCGUAGGCGGGAUGGCAAGUCAGAUGUGAAAUCCAGGGGCUCAACCCCUGAACUGCAUUUGAAACUGUCGUUCUUGAGUACUGGAGA